AUUGAACGCUGGCGGCAGGCCUAACACAUGCAAGUCGAGCGAGCGGCGGACGGGUGAGUAAUGUAUGGGAAACUGCCCGCUGGAGGGGGAUAACUACUGGAAACGGUAGCUAAUACCGCAUACCAUCGGAUGUACCCAGAUGGGAUUAGCUAGUAGGUGGGGUAAUGGCUCACCUAGGCGACGAUACCUAGCUGGUCUGAGAGGAUGACCAGCCACACUGGAACUGAGAAACGGUCCAGACUCCUACGGGAGGCAGCAGUGGGGAAUAUUGCACAAUGGGCGCAAGCCUGAUGCAGCCAUGCCGCGUGUAUGAAGAAGGCCUUCGGGUUGUAAAGCACUUUCAGUGGGGAGGCGUUACCGGCAGAAGAAGCACCGGCUAACUCCGUGCCAGCAGCCGCGGUAAUAC
rnacentral:rRNA from 1 species